GAACGAUUUCGGCGCCUUAACGUUCCAUUAACCGUUCUAGGAAAAAUUCUAAAAAGCGUGUUAGAGGCGGCAUAACCGAGGAAGUGAAGCAAGCAGCCGUAGCUGUUGGCUGGAGAUAAUAAACAAGCAACAAUAUGGCACACAAACACAGACCCGAGACAUCCUCCAGAAGAGGUACUGUUGCUUUAUUCAUCAUGUAUUUUAGGUGCAAACAUACAGCACCAUUCAGUUCAGAGACUGCCAUGAUAAACAGACUCGGUUUCUUGUUAAUUUCCAAAUUACUGAUAAUUGACAUACAAUGUAACUUAGAUGACACGACGAAAGCUGAUGAAAGCAUGAUAGUUGUAUUUAACCACAAGUCUAAAAACUCCAGUGCUAGAGCUUUUAUUUCUACUCUUGAUUUUCAGUCAUGCUUUUAUCGAGUCAAACGCUGUUAACGCUCAAGCAAAAGAAUCAAAUAUUCUCAACCGAGCAAACACAUGAGAAGCGGAGAACACAGACAAACAGCAA